ensembl:lncRNA
CUUCAGCCUGAGGCAUACACAUGUUACAUAGUUGCAAUUGAAACAUAUACCCAAAUUUGUAUUACUUUGAUUAUUUUCAUGAAUGUCUUUUAGUGGUUGGUUGUUGUUUUGUUCAUUGUCAAAUAUCCACUAAGUACCUCAAACAGCACCUGGCACAUAGUAUUUGUAAUAAAUAAAUACUUUAAUAAAGGGUAGCAGAAAUAUCAAAGUGCCCAGAUGCUCUUUAAAAGGCAGGAGGGACUAUGUUUUAUGCUAAACUGGAUCCCCUCUGAUUCCAGGUAAAGCAGAGUAGCAGUUGUUGUUGGGGAGACAAAGUAUGUGUUAAUGAAUCCCUCCAUCCUUUUCACUUUCUUCUGAGAUGUUUCAAGUCUCUCCUCUGGAAGGAUGCCCCAGCCUCAGGCCUGACAUGAGCUUCGGGUUCUGCCACUGUGGCCGUGUGCUUGUUAUUGAAGACUAUGCAUGCCAUUGAUCUCCAUGGCUCCAAGGGGACAAGGAAGACACGUUCUUCAUUUGCAACUAGUGUUUGCUUUCCUCUGAUAGUGAGAUUAAGCAGUCCAUACUCCUGGCAGCUGAACAGGACAGUUGAUGGGAGAGGCAGGUCAUGGUGAGGACCAGCUGGGCUGAGAGAAAUCCGUCCCAUUUCAAUGGGGUAUUGCAUGGAAUACAAAGAUGAGCUUCACGUGAAUGGGUCACAUUUUCUCAGUGCCAAUGUAACUCUCUGCUUCAAGGUGGUCUCUUGUGGAGGCUGCCUAAAUUCCAGCCCCUGCAUUGCAAGGUGUAUGAGUACUAGAAUCACGUGCACAAGAACAGCCCUGUACACUUUCUCCUCUUGCCUGGCCCACAGAUAGGGAUGUGCGUAGUAAGAGAGUCAGUAAACUGUUCUGAUAACUUUGUAUUGAACAGAGUAGCUCAGGAGCAUCUCAAAUACCACCUUAAUGGACUGACCAAGUUAAUGUAGUCUCUCUUGGUUAUUUAGUGGAAAGAGCCUGGAAUUUGGAUUUAGACAAAUUCUAGCUUGCCACGUAAUACAUUGGUUGUAUGACACAAAUGAAUUUCUUAGUACCAGAGUGCCCCAUCUUGGAAAAUGGGGAGAAAAAUGCCAACAUUGCGGGGGUUUGCCAGUAUUAAAUAAGAUUGUAGAUGUCAGGGGCUGGCCCCGUGGCCGAGUGGUUAAGUUCGCGCGCUCCGCAGCACGCGGCCCAGUGUUUCGCUAGUUCGAAUCCUGGGCGCGGACAUGGCACUGCUCAUCAGACCACGCUGAGGCAGCAUCCCACAUGCCACAACUAGAAGAACCCACAACGAAGAAUACACAACUAUGUACCGGGGGGCUUUGGGGAGAAAAAGGAAAAAAUAAAAUCUUUAAAAAAAUAAAAAUAAAAAGAUUGUAGAUGUCAUCCUUUGAAGUAAUGUUAAUAGCAUGUAGUAGGCCCUCAAUCAAUCUGAGCUUCCCCUCCUUUCCAGAGAUCAGCUAAGGCCCUGGGACAGUCUGGUCCUUAAGCACAGCCCUUUGCUUUAUUAGGGACAGUGGUCUUCUAGUUUUAAAAUAGUCAUAGAAAAUAGAAGUCUAUAGCCAUUUCAGAAAUUUUAAAAGUUUGCUAGAAGUCCCUAAUGGCCACUGUCACUUUUUAAUUAUAUGAGAUCAAUUUGGAGACUUGACUGUCCUUACCGCCCUGUGUGCAGCCGAUCUAACAGAACGCUGGGCUCAACCAGAAGACAGAUCUGAGGCCUUACACGGUAACUUACACACAGAGCAACCUGACAGAAAAUCCUGCAGAGCUCAGAUUUCCACUGAUAGAAUUCAACCCAAGACAUAAAUUACACGGUGCUUACAAGGCAAAUGAAACACAAUCUAUCAAGAUAGAAUCACCAAGCUUGCACCUCAUAGCCAAAAUGGAUGUGAUUGAAACAAGUUUUUUUGCAGAUUCUUAUUUCAGAUUCUGACAUUUUCCUACAGUUUGUUUAAAAGUUUUCUUAAGUAACUGAAAAGUAAUUGUAUUUUUUGGCAACAUAGAAUCCCUAGGAAAGCACUUAAAAUGCAGCAGCUACUGGCAUAGGAAGAGGAGACUUUGCUUGAUUAUAGAUAUUCUGGCAGAGAUUUCAAAGUAUUUUUGUACACUGAAGAAUUGCAACUGAAUUAUCUUUCUCUAUGCAAAUAGCACCUUCUUUGCCUUCAACACAAAAUGCAGAUAAUUUACCAGUCUACCAAAAAUUCUUGACCAGACUAGUUUUCUCAGAAUAAAUAAUAUGAGGCUUUGAGAAAAUGAGUGAGCACAGUUGAUGAGCAAACUGUUUGAUCUUUUCCUGUCUGAUAGGUGAAAAAUCAUUAUCUCCUUGUAUCAACUACCCUGCCAGGUGUGAACAGGUCCUCAGCUCUCCUCUCCAGCAUCCCUAAUUAUAGGGCAACCACACCUGCAGAAACUGCUGUACCUUUCUUAUGUGCUACAGGUGAAAUAAGAGAAGAUGAACAAGGAGAUACUCUGCCCUGGGGCAAGGCUGGCCUCAGGUUACUCUUUCCCAUUACCAGAGCACAAGGCAGGUAGAAGACAAUAUUCUAUAGAAUUCAUUUGCAAAAGCAUCAUUUAUUGAAUUUCCUGUAUUAAAAUAAUUUCUCUGUUCUACUAGACAUGUGAUUUACUAUGUUCUCAUUCCAUGACAUCUCAAUUUUUUUCUUUUCUGAAUUAUUCUAAAUUUUACUAUGAUUAAUUGUGGCCUUCAUCAGAUGACACAUCUUAGCAUCCAUUCUUUUGGGCUGACUAGAAACUGUUUUCUCCUCCGUGCUGCGUAAGCAUUUAUCAAUAAAUUUGAGGAAUUGACUUAGCCUUUAUUAAUUCAUUCAAUGAACAUAACUUCAUUCCAGGCAUUAUGCUAG